rnacentral:rRNA from 1 species
CCUCCGGGAGGCAGCAGUGAGGCAUAUUUGUCAAUUGGCGAGAGCCUGAACCAGCCAAGUCGCGUGAAGGAUGACGGCCCUACGGGUUGUAAACUUCUUUUGUCAGUGCUCAAUUGGGUCCACGCGUGGGCUUAGCGCGAGUACCUGACGAAAAAGCAUCGGCUAACUCCGGGCCAGCUGCCGCGGUAAUACGGAGGAUGCUAGCGUUAUGCUGAUUUAUUGGGUUUAAAAGGUGCGUAGGCGGAAUAUCAAGUCAGCGGUAAAAAUUCGGGGCUCAACCCCGUCGUGCCGUUGAAACUGAUGUUAGUGAGUGGGCGAGAAGUAUGCGGAAUGCGUGGUGUAGCGGUGAAAUGCAUAGAUAUCACGCAGAACUCCGAUUGCGAAGGCAGCAUACCGGCGCCCAACUGACGCUGAAGCACGAAAGCGUGGGUAUCGAACAGGAUUAGAUACCCCAGUAGUC